rnacentral:rRNA from 1 species
CCUACGGGAGGCAGCAGUGAGGAAUAUUGGACAAUGGGCGCAAGCCUGAUCCAGCCAUGCCGCGUGCAGGAAGACGGUCCUAUGGAUUGUAAACUGCUUUUGUACAGGAAGAAACACUCCCUCGUGAGGGAGCUUGACGGUACUGUAAGAAUAAGGAUCGGCUAACUCCGUGCCAGCAGCCGCGGUAAUACGGAGGAUCCAAGCGUUAUCCGGAAUCAUUGGGUUUAAAGGGUCCGUAGGCGGUUUAAUAAGUCAGUGGUGAAAUCUGGUCGCUCAACGAUCAAACGGCCAUUGAUACUGUUAGACUUGAAUUAUUAGGAAGUAACUAGAAUAUGUAGUGUAGCGGUGAAAUGCUUAGAUAUUACAUGGAAUACCAAUUGCGAAGGCAGGUUACUACUAAUGGAUUGACGCUGAUGGACGAAAGCGUGGGGAGCGAACAGGAUUAGAUACCCUGGUAGUCCACGCCGUAAACGAUGGAUACUAGCUGUUCGGAGCAAUCUGNGUGNGUAGACGAAGUAGAGUAAGUAAGUACCACCGUCGGGAGGUAACGGUUCGUCGAAGAAAGUAAGUUAAACGUUAACUAAAUUAAGAAGUUAGUACGGGCGUUGAGACGUUAGCCGACGGACGACCGACCGAAGGGGAGGUUAGGAGG